rnacentral:rRNA from 1 species
GUGGGGAAUUUUGGACAAUGGGGGAAACCCUGAUCCAGCGACGCCGCGUGAAGGAUGAAGGCCUUCGGGUUGUAAACUUCUUUUGGAGGGGACGAAUAAAUUGACGGUACCCUCAGAAAAAGCCACGGCUAACUACGUGCCAGCAGCCGCGGUAAUACGUAGGUGGCGAACGUUACUCGGAAUUACUAGGCGCAAAGCGUAUGUAGGCGGUUGUAUAAGUCUAUGGUGAAAUUUCCUGGCUAAACUGGGAAUGGACAUAGAUACUGGAUGGCUUGAGUGUUGGAGGGGGAGACGGAAUUCCUGGUGUAGCGGUGAAAUGCGUAGAUAUCAGGAAGAACACCGAUGGCGAAAGCAGUCUCCUGGCCAAAUACUGACGCUGAGGUACGAAAGCUAGGGUAGCAAACAGGAUUAGAUACCCGUGUAGUCC